CAUUCUGGCUUAACAUAGAGAAGAAUGUAACAGCGGUGCGAGGCGGAAAUAUCUCCCUCCCCUGUGAUUUCUCUGUUCCUGCACAUGCAGUCUACUGGUACAAACACGACUUCACUGGAGCACCAGCUGACGGAGCAUCACUCGUAGCCCGAGACUAUCAAGGUAUAACAGAUCCUGUACCGGGCUUUGAGAGGUUCAGCAUCACCAGGGAUUACAGUUUGAUCAUCAAAAACAUCAUUGUUCACGACGAGACAACCUACUCAUGCUUAGUUGUUGAGCUUGAUACCUUGGAUGUUGGUGAGGAAAGAGGCUAUACGGACUUGAGAGUUAUAGCUUUAGCAGAGCCCCUUGAACCGAUCAUCGAGAUCAUCGAGCCCUGUACUUUCACAGCGCAAGGGGGAUGUAUCUACCAUGUUAAUAGGCCUACUACUGAUGGGGACACGUCGGAGGAUGUAAUACUUGUUUCUAAGCUUUUCAAUAUUCGACCUCUACCAAAAUUGAUUUGGAUUGGAAGCGAUGGAAGAUUACAUGAACAUGCAACUCACCAGACGCAGGAGAAAGACGGGCUGUUUAACAUUUCAUUACAACUUCAGGUAUCCAAGUCGCAUCUUGAUCACAACUAUACCUGUCAAGCUAAAGGGGAAGCCGUGAAUGGAACCUCAUCAGUAGAUAUUUCUUUUGAGGAUUCUGCUA